UCUCUCUACCCCUUCGAGAAGAGUGGUUGUCGCAAACAUGCCUCCAUUUAUUACGGGGGACCAAAUCAAGAAAGAGCUGAGUCAUUUUGCCUCAGUAGAACACACCUGACUAUCCUCCACCAGUCAUACAAGGAGAAUAGUCUAAUGCCUAUCAAAAAGAGAUCUGACCCAAGCAAGCACAGGUUACACAUGAAGCAUCAGGACUUGCAGCGAGUGGUGAACUUCAUCAACACCUAUGCAGAGGAUAAUGCAAUAGUAUUACCUGGACGCCAACCAGGACACAAACACUUUGGUCGGAAGCUGCUGCCAUGUCAUGUGACACAAACUGCAGUGUGGCAUCUCUACAAGGAAAUGAUGACAACACAUGAGGUAUGUGUAGUCGCGCUGUCUUCCUUCAAGAAUUUGUGGACCACCUGACUCCGUACUUUAGCCUAAUGUCACAGAUCAAGCAGUACCAGCACUUCAGGAGCAUGGUUUUGUUGUCGCCAAGGAGCGUUCAGACUCAGUUGGGACCAGGUUUCAGCUGCUCCCAGUCAUCAUGACUAUCUGCACUGCCUCUAUGCACAUUCACAUGACUUUCUCUUAACACACACAGCAUACGUUGCUGCUAUUAUAAAAAAUGCAUCCUGCUGCUCAGCCACUUUACUGCUUAUUGUAUGCAUAUAUGUAACUACCUUGUGUAUCACCAGUAUCUCUGACAUCGUUAUUGAUAUUGUUCUUGUACAUACUGUAUAGUUUGUUCUUUCUCUACUGGCAUUGACACUUAUUGUUAUUGGUUUUUAUAUAUUGACACUUUCUAUUUUUUAUAUUGCAAGUAACCAUUUGGUUGUACCGUUUACACUUUCUGUAGAGACCCAUCCACUUGGCAUUAUGUCGCUGGGGGUUAUAGAAUUUCUUUCACAUGACCCAUCAAGUUAGACAAGUGUGUCUGGGU
ensembl:lncRNA